UACGGGGGGGCAAGCGUUGUUCGGAAUUCCUGGGCGUAAAGGGCUCGUAGGUGGCCAACUAAGUCAGACGUGAAAUCCCUCAGCUUAACUGGGGAACUGCGUCUGAUACUGGAUGGCUUGAGUUUGGGAGAGGGAUGCGGAAUUCCAGGUGUAGCGGUGAAAUGCGUAGAUAUCUGGAGGAACACCGGUGGCGAAGGCGGCAUCCUGGACCAACACUGACACUGAGGAGCGAAAGCCAGGGGAGCAAACGGG
rnacentral:rRNA from 1 species